rnacentral:rRNA from 1 species
GACGAGGGGUCCAAGCGUUGUUCGGAAUCAUUGGGCGUAAAGCGGGUGUAGGGGGCUCUAUAAGUCAGGAGUGAAAGCCCCGAGCUUAACUCGGGAAGUGCUUUUGAUACUGUAGAGCUUGAGUGUGGGAGAGGAUCGUGGAAUUCCAGGUGUAGUGGUGAAAUACGUAGAUAUCUGGAGGAACACCGGUGGCGAAGGCGGCGAUCUGGCCCAACACUGACACUGAGACCCGAAAGCAUGGGGAUCAAACAGG